UGUCUCCGCGGAGUCACCGGUAGAGAGAGAGAGAGAGAGAGGGGGGGAGAGAGAGAGGGCGUGUGUGAAAGAGAGAGGCAGAGCAAUACAGGAGGAGAGAGAGAGGGAGAGAGCGUGUGUGAGAGAGGGAGAGCGCAAAUAACCCGUAAAGAUAAGUCAGGAGAGGCAGAGCUCGCUCGGGCUCCUCGGCACCACAACCCCGACCUCAACGCACAUGAACCCCGUCUCCUUUUCUGGACUUUAAUUCUCAUCAAAGAUGUUUUUACGGACCGUUGAGGGGAGAAGUUCCAGAACGUGGAGACUGAAGAUUACGGUGAUUUAUCGUGUCAAGCACGCUGGAUGAAGACGGGGAGAUUUUGCUACUACACAGAAGCUGGGUCCUUAAAUUGGCGUCUCACUGAAUCUCCCCGGUGACUCCUAUCCUGACCUCCUCCAAAGAGACCACCCCUUUCCAUCCAAGCCUGAAGGUACUUGGAUCUAAACUCUGGAUUUUUUUCUUAAUGGGAUGGAUUUGCAAGAUCUGUACCUAUGCUGCCCCUGAAACAAAUGAACUUUUGAGGCACUACAGGUUAAGGCACGACCACAGCGAAUUUCUUCCCUGUUUACAUGCUGAUUGCCCCUGCUCCUUCAAAACAUGGAAUACCCUCAAAUCACAUUUGUCAAGGAAACAUCCAACUAACAAGUCAACACCAGAAGUGAUUUGUUUCAGUUGUGAACUUUGCAGUUCUAGUUUCUCAACUGAGAAGGAUUUUUUCCAACAUCUUGCAGUUCAUCUUAGGAAAAAUCAAACUGUGCACUGUGUCUUCAGAGAAUGUGAUUUUUCUACAAAUGUGUUUGGAACCUUUGCAUCACACAGAUCCCGAAAACACUCAGCACAUUCUUCAAAUGACUUCCGAGCCCAAAUUGUACACAAGUAUAUAGAUCGGUCAAAUAGUACAGAUGAUAUUGCUGAAGCACAUUGCUCUGAGGCGUACGAGUGUUCAAGAGCACAUGACUGUUCAGGAGAAUAUGAACCUGAAGAAUUGAAAGAAGAAGAAAUUGAACUGAAGUUGGGCCACCUUUUAUUGAAAUUAGAGAGCAUUUACAAUGUGCCAAGCAAGUGCAUUACUGAAGUAGUAGCUGAGCUCCAGGUUUUAUCUUCUGUGGUGUCAGGUCCUGCCAUAAGAAAAAGUGUAAACUCAUGUUUAAGGAAACAUAACUGUGUGCUUGAUGACUUAGUAGUCUCUGAUUUAGUCAAACAGUUGAGUGAGUCAAACCCCAUUAGCACAGCUUUAAGAUCUGAUGGUCCUCUAGCUACAACUUUCAAAAGACGGGAGUUCUUUAAGAAGACAUUUCAUGUAGUUGAGCCUGUUGAGUACAUUCUUGACAAGAAGGAAGGUCGAACCUUGCAAUAUGUUCCCAUUCUUCAGUCUUUGUCACAGAUAUUAAGCCUGAGUGACAUACAGGAGAAAGCUUUCAACUCUUCAUACACUUCUCACGAGGGCAGAUAUGAGUCAUUUCAUGAUGGAACACAUUUUAAAGAAAAUCCAUUUUUAGCCACUGAAAACAUAACUCUUCCUCUACUUCUCUACAUUGACGAUUUCGAGGUGUGCAAUCCCCUGGGAACAUCCCGCAAAAAACAUAAAAUUACUGCAGUGUAUUGGGUAUUGGCAAAUAUUCCACCACAGUUUCGUGCUACACUGAAGUCAAUUUAUUUAGCUGUGCUUUGCAAGGCUACAGAUGUGAAGAAGUACGGUUAUGAGGCAGUGCUUGAGCCACUUUUAAAAGAUCUUGUCCAGUUGGAAGAAGAAGGGCUCUUUAUUCCUGCGCUUGGAAAAAAAAUUAAAGGCACAAUAGUUAGUGUAGUAGCUGACAAUUUAGGUGCCCAUUCCAUUGGUGGCUUUGUGGAAAGUUUUUCUGGAUCUCAUGUCUGCCGGUUUUGUUUGGGAGCGCUCUCCGAGUUUCAGAAGAAAGAAGUAAGAGCUGGAUCCUUCCGAGCAAGAACAAGGCAGGAACAUUCUCUUCAUGUUCAAACAGCUUCAGAAAAUCCCACUCUCACUCAUUGCUUCGGUGUGAAAAGGCAGUGUCCCUUAACUAAUAAAUUACAACAUUUUCAUGUUUUGUCAGGAUAUCCACCAGACUUGCUCCAUGACCUGUUCGAGGGAAUAGUGCCUCGGGAGUUGGCUCUGUGCCUAAAUGAUCUGAUUAAGAAAAAAUACUUCACUUUAUUUCAAGUCAAUGACCUCAUCAGACAGUUCCCCUACAAGUGGACUGACAAAACUGACAGCCCACAGCCUGUCCCGCUGAACUUUGCCACCCGAAGGAGUGUGGGAGGAAACGCUCAUGAAAACUGGUGCCUGUUGCGCCUGCUUCCUCUCAUCAUUGGUUUCAAAGUCCCAGAGAGCGAACCAGCAUGGCAUCUCCUAAUGGAUCUGAAAGACAUCGUUGAACUAGUUGUUUCUCCAGUUCACACAGAUGAAACAAUUAGACACCUUGACAUUAAAAUAGCAGAGCACAGGCAUAGAUACCUUCAGGUUUUUCCAGAGGCAAAACUUCUGCCAAAGCACCAUUUUCUAGAGCAUUAUCCCCAGCUCAUCAAGGCCUUUGGACCGCUAGCAGCUCUGUGGACGAUGCGCUUCGAAGCUAAGCACAGUUUCUUUAAGCGAGUCGUUCGACAUACCAGCUGUUUUCGGAACAUUUUACUAUCUCUGGCUGUUAAACAUCAGUUCAUGCUGGCUUACCAUUUUCAUGGCACAGACAUACUGAAACCUGCCCUCAGUGUCUCAAAUCUGUCCACAGUGCCUGUGGAUGUCCUCAAGGAAAACAUACAGGAAGCAGUGCAAAGAAAAUUUCCUGGAGAGACGUGUGUUCAGGUGACCAAUACUGUGACUUGCUAUGGCACCUGUUACUCAGUGGGAAUGAUCUUGCCCUACGGAUCAACUGGAGGGCUUCCAGACUUUGUUGAACUAAAUCUAAUCCUCGUUAUGCGUGGUCAGCUUGCAUUUGCUGUCAAGUGUCUUCAUUCCUGGUACUGGGAGCACCUUAGGGCAUUUGAAUUGGAAUCCACAAGACAAGUGACAAUCCUUGAGCAACAGGAAUUAACAGACUCCUACCCUCUUGCAGCAUAUGCUUUUGAGCAAAGGCGAUUUGUCACCUUGAAGCGUCACAUUCCCAUUCAAGAUUAGAAUAAUCAACAUGUCUGCCCGACUUCGAGUCAUACUACAGGAGGAAAUUCGCAAGCUUUCCUUGCCCUGCGGAAUCCCGGCGACCGUGGAGGAAUUGAAGCAUAUUGUACAGGACACAUUUGAAAUUGAACAAGAUUUUAGUUUGCAGUUCCAGGACCAAGAAUUUGAUGGUCAAUUUUUCACUCUCCUGGAAACAAAUGAAGUAAAAGACAAAGACACCAUCAAGGUGGUUCUUACUGCACCAGUGAUCACACUAACAUUUGAAGAUUCUUUGAAUGCCAAAGGACUCCAGGAGAGCUUUGAUAGCAGUUGCGCUGAGUCAUCAGAAGAUGUCCGUUCCAGUUCUUCCCAGCCAUCCAGUGAUACCAUACUUCUGACUUCUCCAGAGAGCACCUCCUCUCUUCGUUCGUCGUCUUGGCCAGCUCAGUUUGAGAUUCCUACCUUCUCCUUUGACACAGAGCUCAUUCUACAAGCUGCAAAUGCAGCUUACAGAAAGGAUGGAACCCUACUCAGCAACCCCUCAGUAAAACCCAAUAUUCUAGACAAACUAGCAGACAGCAUCUUUGUCUACACUGCCUAUCCUUCACGAGCACAAAGGGAGCAGGUUGCUGAGGCCCUGGUCAUGAAACACCCGUGUUUGAGGGACCCAGUGUCAUCCAAUGGUAUAUAUGGUUGGCAGAACAGCCUGAAAUACAAGGUUGGCAAUUUCAGAGCAAAGGUGAAACACCUUGGAUUACCAGAACUAAAUGUAAACUGUCGGAAGAUAAAAUCAGCUGCAGAUGGACCACCAACUAAAAGCUUGAAAAAAGCAAAGAAAUCCGAGGUAAACUAUCUCCCACCACAUCCUCAAGGUGAAACUGAUGAAACCCUUGAAAAGGAGAGAGUAGAGCUUCUCUAUGAGUACAAGAAGAGAGACAACACCAAAAUCAUCAAUGAAAAGAUGGUGAAAACCUUUUCAUUACGUCGAAAUGAUGUAAUCCUCAAUAAACCCGCUGUGAUUGACUUCAAAGCUCGAUGGCCUGCCAUGUUUGAGCUUUCCCAGAUCGAAGAGGAAUUCCGUAGGAUCACACUGAAGCCACUACAGUCCACAUUCCUGGGGAAGUUGGACCAAUGCACGCCCAGACUGUUGAGCCUCUACAGGAGGAAGGGAGGCGCUGUUGGGAAGAAACUUGAUGAGACCCUUGACAUGUUAA